rnacentral:rRNA from 1 species
UACGAAGGGUGCAAGCGUUACUCGGAAUUACUGGGCGUAAAGCGUGCGUAGGUGGUUUGUUAAGUCUGUUGUGAAAGCCCCGGGCUCAACCUGGGAAUGGCAAUGGAUACUGGCAAGCUAGAGUGCGGUAGAGGGUAGUGGAAUUCCUGGUGUAGCGGUGAAAUGCGCAGAUAUCAGGAAGAACACCCGUGGCGAAGGCGGCUCUCUGGGACGGUACUGACGCUGAGACGCGAAAGCGUGGGGAGCGAACAGG